rnacentral:rRNA from 1 species
AUUGAACGCUGGCGGCAGGCCUAACACAUGCAAGUCGAGCGGUAGCACAGAGGAGCUUGCUCCUUGGGUGACGAGCGGCGGACGGGUGAGUAAUGUCUGGGAAACUGCCUGAUGGAGGGGGAUAACUACUGGAAACGGUAGCUAAUACCGCAUAACGUCUUCGGACCAAAGAGGGGGACCUUCGGGCCUCUUGCCAUCAGAUGUGCCCAGAUGGGAUUAGCUAGUAGGUGAGGUAAUGGCUCACCUAGGCGACGAUCCCUAGCUGGUCUGAGAGGAUGACCGGCCACACUGGAACGGAGACACGGUCCAGACUCCUACGGGAGGCAGCAGUGGGGAAUAUUGCACAAUGGGCGCAAGCCUGAUGCAGCCAUGCCGCGUGUGUGAAGAAGGCCUUCGGGUUGUAAAGCACUUUCAGCGGGGAGGAAGGCGGUGAGAUUAAUAACCUCAUCGAUUGACGUUACCCGCAGAAGAAGCACCGGCUAACUCCGUGCCAGCCGCCGCAGUAAUAC